rnacentral:rRNA from 1 species
UACGGGGGGAGCAAGCGUUGUUCGGAUUUACUGGGCGUAAAGGGCGCGUAGGCGGCCACCGCAAGUCGAUUGUGAAAUCUCCGGGCUUAACCCGGAAAGGUCAACCGAUACUGCGGGCUAGAGUGCAGAAGGGGCAACUGGAAUUCUCGGUGUAGCGGUGAAAUGCGUAGAUAUCGAGAGGAACACCUGCGGCGAAGGCGGGUUGCUGGGCUGACACUGACGCUGAAGUGCGAAAGCUAGGGGAGCGAACGG